CUCAACGGGAGGGAGAGCGCCUUGGGGUGUGGGUUGUGUGUGCUGUGUCGUGGUGUCGCGGUGUCGCGUGGAAGGCGUGUGUGGGCCGAGUGUGUGAGUGGACGCGUAUGUGAGAGCGCGUGGGGCGUGCAAGGUGAGUGCGUGCACUCCCCCCCUUGGCCUCUACUCCCGCCUACACAUUGAUCUUAUUUGAUCGGGUUGUGACCCCAGCCCCGCCGGGCGGACCCGAAAUGAAAAGCUCCCCUCCUGCGAAGCCCCCUCCUCGGGGCGCUGUGCAGCGAGGCCCCUUGGGCGGCGGUAACGCCGCGGUCCCGGAGGUCCCGGAACCGGUCCUACGGGGCCCGGCGCUCAGAAGUGAUGAAUUGAUCAGAUAGACGAGGCCAGGCUUGUCCCGGGCCGCUGAUUAUCGAGGCGAUUCUGAUCUGA
ensembl:snoRNA SCARNA2 small Cajal body-specific RNA 2